rnacentral:misc_RNA from 1 species
GAUGAAGAACGCAGCGAAAUGCGAUACGUAAUGUGAAUUGCAGAAUUCAGUGAAUCAUCGAAUCUUUGAACGCAUAUUGCGCUCUCUGGUAUUCCGGAGAGCAUGCUUGUUUGAGUAUCAGUAAACACCUCAACUUCCAUAUCUUUUUUGAAAUGGGAGUUGGACUUGAGUGAUCCCAACGCUUUUCCUCACCGAAAAGUGGCGGGUUACUUGAAAUGCAGGUGCAGCUGGACUUUUCUCUGAGCUAUAAGCAUAUCUAUUUAGUCUGCCUAAAAAACAGAUUAUUACCUUUGCUGCAGCUAACAUAAAGGAGAUUAGUUCUUGUGCUGACUGAUGCAGGAUUCACCAAGACAGGCUUCGGCCGACUUUGUAAACUCGAUCUCAAAUCAAGUAAGACUACCCGCUGAACUUAAGCAUAUCAAUAAGCGGAGG